CUUUGGUUUUUCAGACUGGAUAGGCAUGGAUGAAUCUGCUAGUUUUUCGAAUACUCCAGGAUUAUUGGAUUCUGCGGAGUUAAACUUUCUGGAAGCUGAUACAACACGAGUUGGGCAUAUUUGAUCCAAGCGUACAAUGAUGUGUCUCCAGGGGGCUGUGGCUCAAUAUCUGGAAAAUCACUCUCCUGCAACUGAAACAUCACAAGACCAAAUUGGGAGUCUUUCUCUAAACAAGAUUUUACAUGGCAAAACCAGAAAGCAAUGUGCUCAAAUCUUUUUCGAAAUACUGGUUCUGGCAAAAUCUGACUAUGUCAACGUGCACCAAGAAGAAGCUUAUGGUGACAUUUCAUUGACAUUGACUUCACGUUUGAAAACCCCAUCUUGAGGUGAUAUUGUGGUGCUUGUAAAUAGGUUUUUAUUACAAAGCGGAGGAUGGUAGCAGCGGAAGCUAGUUUUUAUUUGUUAAUUUUGAAGGUCCGCAAAAGGGGUUAUUGCUUCUCUCAAAGGCAUAAUGUUGCAUCAUGUUGCACAACAACACUCUCCUUAGUCUAUUUAUCCAUGAGAUAUAUUGACUGCCUCAAGCUAAGAGUAGGGUGCCGUUAGUAUUUUGUUUUCGUCCAUUGAUA